rnacentral:lncRNA from 1 species
CAAGAACUAUGGUAUUCUGAAAAAUAUUCCACCUUUUCAUCUUGCCUGGACAUCUGACAGCUUAUGCAGCUACCCAGAACCGACAACCAGACUCAUGGGAUGGAAGAACAGAAAGAAUAAAAAACAAACGCCCACCUGUGACACAGAUAAAAGAGAAAGCAAGUGAGAGUGUCUUACCCGUGUGUGACUCUUCCAGCUGUGGAUAUAAGGAACUACUUAAGCGGCAAGCCCAUGACUCAAUUGCAAUGGAAAUCACAGAGCUGGUUUAAUGUUUAAAAAUAAAAAGGACCAUGUUCUUUCUGAGGUUGACCA